CGGCCCAUUCGUGCCGAAGCAUGGCUCUCCCACACUUGGAUUUUAUGAUUAAUACUCACUAACUCCCAAGGUAGUAUCAACUGAGGCCACCAUAAUUCCAAGAUAAAAUGCCGCGUUAUGGGGUAUACAGAAGUCCAGGUGAUUCGGUCCCAUCAGCACCAUGACGUCGCCUUGCUUCAGCCCCAUGUUGGUGAGGGAGACAGCACAUCGGAUGCUCCUGUCUAAUGCUGAGCCGAAGGUUUCUGACUCUCCUGUCGCUCCAUCGAUCUGAAGU